rnacentral:lncRNA from 1 species
UCGGGAGACCCUAUAACAAACCGUCGGGUCUCUGGUUUUCUGCCUCAACUUAUUGGCAAGUAAGGCAUCGAGAGACAUAGUCGACAAUGUCUUUUUUCAUUACCGACCACCAGUAUUGGCGCUUCAAGUUCCGGUACAUCUUGGUACUUCUAGAGUGGAUGGAUAAUUUGGAGGCAUAAGCAACCUUGAGAACAUCCAUCCUGAUAGUGACAAAGAC